UCGGAAUCUGGGAGGACCAUCUCCUAAGGCUAAAUACUCUCUAGUGACCGAUAGUGAACCAGUACCGUGAGGGAAAGGUGAAAAGCACCCCGGAAGGGGAGUGAAAUAGAACCUGAAACCGUGUGCUUACAAGUAGUCAGAGCCCGUUAAUGGGUGAUGGCGUGCCUUUUGUAGAAUGAACCGGCGAGUUACGAUUUGAUGCAAGGUUAAGCAGUAAAUGUGGAGCCGUAGCGAAAGCGAGUCUGAAUAGGGCGUUUAGUAUUUGGUCGUAGACCCGAAACCAGGUGAUCUACCCUUGGUCAGGUUGAAGUUCAGGUAACACUGAAUGGAGGACCGAACCGACUUACGUUGAAAAGUGAGCGGAUGAACUGAGGGUAGCGGAGAAAUUCCAAUCGAACCUGGAGAUAGCUGGUUCUCUCCGAAAUAGCUUUAGGGCUAGCCUCAAGUGAUGAUUAUUGGAGGUAGAGCACUGUUUGGACGAGGGGCCCCUCUCGGGUUACCGAAUUCAGACAAACUCCGAAUGCCAAUUAAUUUAACUUGGGAGUCAGAACAUGGGUGAUAAGGUCCGUGUUCGAAAGGGAAACAGCCCAGACCACCAGCUAAGGUCCCAAAAUAUAUGUUAAGUGGAAAAGGAUGUGGCGUUGCCCAGACAACUAGGAUGUUGGCUUAGAAGCAGCCAUCAUUUAAAGAGUGCGUAAUAGCUCACUAGUCGAGUGACACUGCGCCGAAAAUGUACCGGGGCUAAACAUAUUACCGAAGCUGUGGAUUGUCCUUUGGACAAUGGUAGGAGAGCGUUCUAAGGGCGUUGAAGCAUGAUCGUAAGGACAUGUGGAGCGCUUAGAAGUGAGAAUGCCGGUGUGAGUAGCGAAAGACGGGUGAGAAUCCCGUCCACCGAUUGACUAAGGUUUCCAGAGGAAGGCUCGUCCGCUCUGGGUUAGUCGGGUCCUAAGCUGAGGCCGACAGGCGUAGGCGAUGGAUAACAGGUUGAUAUUCCUGUACCACCUAUAAUCGUUUUA
rnacentral:rRNA from 1 species